CAUGAGUUUGCAUGUUCUCGGUUUACUCCGGGUACUCCGGUUUCCCCCACCAUCAUGAAGACAUGCAUUGCAUCGUAUGAAUAUGAAUGAAUGUUGGUGGUGGUCAGAGGGGCCGUAGGCGCUGAUUGGCAGCCACGCUUCUGUCAGUCUGCCCCAGGGCAGCUGUGGCUACCUGCUUCCCAUCCUGGGCCCUCAACACAGUCAGCAUCCCCUAGACGGCUUCUCCCGCUUGACAUGACAACCUCCACCCUUGUCAUUGGCAGCUCCAUGAUCAGAGAUGUCUACAUCCCCCCUUCACCAAGCGGUCCCUGCAAGGUCCACUGCUUCCCCGGAGCGAGGGUCCGUGACAUUCAACGUAGACUCCCAAGCAUCCUCGCCGGCUACACCAAGGUCAGCACCAUAAUUGUACAUGUGGGCACAAACGACAUCAGAGCAAGACAGACAGAAGUCCUGAAGGCAGACUUCACAGCCCUCCUCACUACCCUCAUGGACACAGGAAGACGGAUCGUCAUCUCUGGGCCUCUCCCUACCUACCGGAGAGGCGCUGAGAGAUGGUCAAGACUUUUCAACCUCCACACCUGGCUGCGAGCGACCUGCGCUUCAUUAGACAUUGACUGUGUUAACAACUUUGACCUGUUCUGGGAGAGGCCCAGCCUGCUGAAGCAUGAUGGCCUCCACCCAAACCGGAUCGGAGCCAGUCUGCUGUCGGACAACAUGAAGACCACCCUAAGGCACUGACAUCCUGUAGAAAACAUCACAGACUCAUGCCCCCCAGGUAGUAACUCUAAUAACACUGUUUAUGAAAAUGAAUCUGAAUCUGUCAAUGUUUUCUACAGAGCAAUAUAUGACACCACUACCUCAGAACAGGCUGCUUCAUAUAAUAUUAUGGCAUGCGCCUAUAAUCCUAUUCCAGUUUUAAUCUCUACCCAACGCACAGUUAAAAACAAAGGCCAUAGAUACAAUAGAAACAAUAGAAGCCCAGCAAAUAUUCUAUCUAUACCCCGGCAUAUUCCUCCUUCCUGUGAGCCACUAUAUCCAGAAAAUAUUUCAAUGGCAAUACUAAAUAUUAGGUCACUAUCAGGGAAAACAUUUCUCAUUAACGAUCUUAUAUGUGAACGUAAAUUAGACUGUAUGUUUUUAACAGAAACCUGGCUAAACAAAAAUGGGUCUGCAGCUCUUAUUGAAGCAUCCCCUCCCAAUUAUAGCUUUUUUCAGUCCAUUAGAACAGGUAAAAAAGGGGGCGGGACAGCCACCAUAACCACGGAUGCCCUGUGCUGCAGGAGCAUCUCCUUCGAUGAUUUUGCCUCAUUUGAAUAUCAUGCCAUAGUUCUAAAGUGCCAGCCUCCUGUUCUGACAGUAACUGUGUAUAGGCCACCCAAGCAAUGUCCCACUUUUCUAACAGACUUUUCAGAACUACUCUCCAUUAUACACACAAACUACGAUAAGAUUAUUAUCACUGGUGAUUUUAACAUACAUGUUGAUAAUGGGAACGACUCAAAGGCCCGGGAUUUUAUGAACCUCUUGAAUUCCAUGGACUUUACACAACACAUCACUGAACCCACUCACAACCGUGGCCACACCCUUGAUCUAGUUAUUACAAAGGGUCUUACAACUGUUAUAUCGUCUAUCUGUGACCUUGCUCUUUCUGACCACUUUUGUAUUUUCUUUACAGCACUGGUACCUAAAGUUAGAAAUAGUGCUGAAUGUUUUAUUAAGAAACGCUAUCUUAACUCUGCAGCAGCUGAGAAUUUCAAAGUAAUGAUGAACAUAACUAGUACAAAAAACCCAGAUACGGGGCCAUCAUGUGUUAAUGAUCUAGUAACUACUCUAAAUACAAAAUUAAGGACAGCACUUGACUCUGUAGCACCAUUGAAACAAAAAAAGGUUUUAGCCAAACAAAAAGCUCCAUGGAGAAAUGAGGAAAUGAUUAAACUUAAGAGAUCCUGCAGAAGGUCUGAGCGUACAUGGAGAAAGACCAAGCUACAGGUCCACCUUGAUAUCUUUAAGGAUAAACUUUCAGUCUUUAAUAAAGCAAUAAGAAAUGCUAGGAAGGAUCAUUUCUCUAAUUUGAUAUCUACAAAUUCUAACAAUUCCAGGGUCCUCUUUUCAACAAUAGACAGCCUUAUAAAUCCUGCACCUAAAGUAGAUGAUAGUCUCUUUUCCACCCCCAAAUGUGAGGAAUUUGCAGCAUUCUUCAGAGAUAAGAUAACGAACAUUAGGAAAAAUAUUGCUCAAGAAAUUCCAAAUGUCUUGUUUUCUGAUCCCCUUCCACCAUGCUGUAACAGUAUGAGCUUUUUUGCACUGGCUGAUAUAGAAAUGCUGAGCAAAGUAGUGUCACAACUGAAGCCGUCUACAUGCCCUCUUGAUCCCCUUCCCACCAAAUUUUUUAAGACCAUCUUUGACUCUGUGUCUAAGGACAUUCUAGCCAUUAUAAACUGUUCCCUGCUUACAGGUAUUUUCCCAUCAGAACUUAAAACUGCCCUGGUGAGACCCCUCCUGAAGAAAAGCAAUUUAGACUCUUCAGCUCUAAACAAUUUUAGACCCAUCUCUAACCUUCCCUUUCUAAGCAAAAUCCUGGAAAAAAUUGUCUUUAAACAGUUAAAUAAUUUCCUAGAUGCUA
rnacentral:lncRNA from 1 species